AGAAACUUAGGUUAAUAACAAACCAGAGGCCUUCAAAGCCUCAAAUAGGGCCUGCCCCUAGUUUCUG
rnacentral:tRNA from 1 species